GAAUAUUGGGCAAUGGACGCAAGUCUGACCCAGCCAUGCCGCGUGCAGGAUGAAGGCCUUCUGGGUUGUAAACUGCUUUUAUCUGGGAAGAAAACACCCUUGCGAGGGGAACUGACGGUACCAGAUGAAUAAGCACCGGCUAACUCCGUGCCAGCAGCCGCGGUAAUACGGAGGGUGCAAGCGUUGUCCGGAUUUAUUGGGUUUAAAGGGUGCGUAGGCGGCCCGGUAAGUCAGUGGUGAAAGCCCAUCGCUCAACGAUGGAACUGCCAUUGAUACUGCCGGGCUUGAGUACAGACGAGGUAGGCGGAAUUGAUAGUGUAGCGGUGAAAUGCAUAGAUACUAUCAAGAACACCGAUUGCGUAGGCAGCUUACUAGGCUGUAACUGACGCUGAGGCACGAAAGCGUGGGGAGCGAACAG
rnacentral:rRNA from 1 species